GAUUAUUUAUAAUCUUCCAGUCGCUGUUUUUAGACAAAGGAGAGACGGAAGUCAGUCAACAACAUAUGAACAUGGUUUCCAAGUUGGAUUCCAAGGGAAUUAUGCGGGGAGCAAGGAAGAGAAGUAUUUUAUCAACAACCACUUGAGCUUCAGGGUCAUGUUUCACAGGGAUACUGAGACUGAUGCUACUUGAAUUGUUGGGUUUGAGCUUACCCCAAAAAGCAUUAAUCAUGAAUACAAAGAAUGGGAUGAGAAGAAUCCCCAGAUAGCAACAUGCAAUAAGGACACCAAAUAUCAAACUCAAGCUAGUACUGUUCCACAAUAAGUUGAUGUAGGCAAGG